rnacentral:sRNA from 1 species
UCGGCCACCACUGGUGGUCCUACCACCACUA